UACGUAGGGGGCAAGCGUUGUCCGGAUUUAUUGGGCGUAAAGAGCGUGUAGGCGGCUUCACAGGUCCGCUGUGAAAACUCGAGGCUCAACCUCGAGCUGUCGGUGGAAACCGUGUGGCUAGAGUCCGGAAGAGGAGAGUGGAAUUCCCGGUGUAGCGGUGAAAUGCGCAGAUAUCGGGAAGAACACCCGUGGCGAAGGCGGCUCUCUGGGACGGUACUGACGCUGAGACGCGAAAAGCGUGGGGGAGCAAACAGG
rnacentral:rRNA from 1 species